UACGAAGGGGACUAGCGUUGUUCGGAUUUACUGGGCGUAAAGCGCGCGUAGGCGGAUCGCUAAGUCAGGGGUGAAAUCCCAGGGCUCAACCCUGGAACUGCCCUUGAUACUGACGAUCUGGAGAUCGGGAGAGGUUGGUGGAAUUCCGAGUGUAGAGGUGAAAUUCGUAGAUAUUCGGAAGAACACCAGUGGCGAAGGCGACUCACUGGACAUGUAUUGACGCUGAGGUGCGAAAGCGUGGGGAGCAAACAGG
rnacentral:rRNA from 1 species